rnacentral:rRNA from 1 species
GUUUGAGUGUCAGUAUAUCUAUCAAGUUAUUUUAACUUGGACAAUUGAGAGAUGUGAAUAACUUAUUUACACUUUUUAAAUUUAUUGGAAGGCUUCAUUACGAACCAAAUGUAAUAAUAUUUCAUUUAGUGAAUUUUGAAUGCUUGUCUAUAUACUAUACAAUUACUUUUAAAGUGACCUCAAAUCAGGUAGGGAUACCCGCUGAACUUAAGCAUAUCAAUAAGCGGAGGAAAAGAAACCAACAGGGAUUGCCCUAGUAACGGCGAGUGAAGCGGCAAAAGCUCAGAUUUGAAAUCUGGUGUUGAUCAAACAUCCGAGUUGUAAUCUGUAGAGAGGUACUUCCAAUGUAAGAAUUGGCCUAAGUUUCUUGGAACAGGACGUCAUAGAGGGUGAGAACCCCGUCUUUGGUCUUUUCUUUCAUUGAUAUAAGUCUUCUUCAAUGAGUCGAGUUGUUUGGGAAUGCAGCUCUAAAUGGGUGGUAAAUUCCAUCUAAAGCUAAAUAUUGGCAAGAGACCGAUAGCGCACAAGUAGAGUAAUCGAAAGAUGAAAAGAACUCUGGACAGAGAGUCAAAUAGUACGUGAAAUUGUUGAAAGGGAAGCACUUGCUACCAGACGCAUGGGCAGUUAAUCAGCCUACAUUUAUGUAGGUGCACUUGACUGUUCGUGGGUCAGCAUCAGUUUGGUCAAUGAGAAAAAUACUUGAGGAAUGUGGCUUCCUUCGGGAAGUGUUAUAGCCUCUUGUAAGUAUCAGCGAUUAGACUGAGGACCGCACAAUGUGAGGAUGCUGGCAUAAUGGUUGUAAGUGACCCGUCUUGAAACACGGACCAAGGAGUCUAACAUCUAUGCGAGUGUUUGGGUUAAAAAACCCUCAUGCGAAAUGAAAGUGAAUGCAGAUGGUAGGCGUGAGCUGCCCCAUCGACCGAUCCUGAUGUUCUCGGAUGGAUUUGAGUAUGAGCAUAGAUGUUGGGACCCGAAAGAUGGUGAACUAUGCCUGAAUAGGGUGAAGCCAGAGGAAACUCUGGUGGAGGCUCGCAGCGGUUCUGACGUGCAAAUCGAUCGUCA